AGUCGAGGGGCAGCAUUUCAGUUUGCUUGCAAACUGGAGAUGGCGACCGGCGCACGGGUGAGUAACACGUAUCCAACCUGCCGAUAACUCGGGGAUAGCCUUUCGAAAGAAAGAUUAAUACCCGAUGGNAUAAUCAGACCGCAUGGUCUUAUUAUUAAAGAAUUUCGGUUAUCGAUGGGGAUGCGUUCCAUUAGGCAGUUGGUGAGGUAACGGCUCACCAAACCUUCGAUGGAUAGGGGUUCUGAGAGGAAGGUCCCCCACAUUGGAACUGAGACACGGUCCAAACUCCUACGGGAGGCAGCAGUGAGGAAUAUUGGUCAAUGGGCGCAGGCCUGAACCAGCCAAGUAGCGUGAAGGAUGACUGCCCUAUGGGUUGUAAACUUCUUUUAUAUGGGAAUAAAGUUUUCCACGUGUGGAAUUUUGUAUGUACCAUAUGAAUAAGGAUCGGCUAACUCCGUGCCAGCAGCCGCGGUAAUACGGAGGAUCCGAGCGUUAUCCGGAUUUAUUGGGUUUAAAGGGAGCGUAGGUGGACAGUUAAGUCAGUUGUGAAAGUUUGCGGCUCAACCGUAAAAUUGCAGUUGAUACUGGCUGUCUUGAGUACAGUAGAGGUGGGCGGAAUUCGUGGUGUAGCGGUGAAAUGCUUAGAUAUCACGAAGAACUCCGAUUGCGAAGGCAGCUCACUGGACUGCAACUGACACUGAUGCUCGAAAGUGUGGGUAUCAAACAGGAUUAGAUACCCUGGUAGUCCACACAGUAAACGAUGAAUACUCGCUGUUUGCGAUAUACAGUAAGCGGCCAAGCGAAAGCAUUAAGUAUUCCACCUGGGGAGUACGCCGGCAACGGUGAAACUCAAAGGAAUUGACGGGGGCCCGCACAAGCGGAGGAACAUGUGGUUUAAUUCGAUGAUACGCGAGGAACCUUACCCGGGCUUAAAUUGCAUUUGAAUANUNUGGAAACAGNUUAGCCGCAAGGCAAAUGUGAAGGUGCUGCAUGGUUGUCGUCAGCUCGUGCCGUGAGGUGUCGGCUUAAGUGCCAUAACGAGCGCAACCCUUAUCUUUAGUUACUAACAGGUCAUGCUGAGGACUCUAGAGAGACUGCCGUCGUAAGAUGUGAGGAAGGUGGGGAUGACGUCAAAUCAGCACGGCCCUUACGUCCGGGGCUACACACGUGUUACAAUGGGGGGUACAGAAGGCAGCUACCUGGUGACAGGAUGCUAAUCCCAAAAGCCUCUCUCAGUUCGGAUCGAAGUCUGCAACCCGACUUCGUGAAGCUGGAUUCGCUAGUAAUCGCGCAUCAGCCAUGGCGCGGUGAAUACGUUCCCGGGCCUUGUACACACCGCCCGUCAAGCCAUGAAAGCCGGGGGUACCUGAAGUACGAACCGCAAGGAGCUCCUAGG
rnacentral:rRNA from 1 species